ensembl:lncRNA
AUAUAUAUUUGACUUUGAAACAGCAGUCACUAUGAGCAGUAACUGUGAGGAUAAGUAACUGAAUUCAGUCACUAUUAAAUAAUUAAACAUAAUAAAUUGGAAUCUGUGAAAAUACAUUGGAUCUCUCCAGUUGUUCUGGCACAUCCCACUCUCAAACUCCGAUCUCUAUUAUUCGUUUAAUCUGACUUAUCUGCGUGAGCUCUCAACCAAUGAUUCACCAGCAAUCCACAAGGACCGCCCUCCUCAUUUUCAUGUUGCACACGGAAAAGUAAAAAUAAAUAAAUAAAUAAAUAAAUCUGGAAAUAAAUACACGUGGGAAUAAAUAAAUACAUAUAAAAAAUUAAUAAAUAAAUAAAAAUAAAACUCUCGUCCUGCCCAGUCACGGCUAUGGAUGCCGCUCAUGAAUCCUCGUCCUGCCCAGUCACGGCUAUGGAGGCCAUUUCUGAACUCUCAUCUUGCCAAGUCACGGCUAUGGAAGCCGUUAAUGAACUCUCGCCCUGUCCUGUCACGGCUAAGGAGGCCGCCUAUGAAUCUUCAUCCAUUCAAGUCUCGGUCCUUGGGGCCAUGAAUCCUCUGUCUAUGUUGUCUGUCUCUGCUUCUUCCAGGCUCCAGUCCCAAGCAUGCUGUCCUAGCCAGUUCAGUCUACCCAUCCACUCUGUCUGCUCCACCCAGGAGGGUUCCAGGGCCGUCCACUCUGCCUGUCUUUUUGUAUCUCACCCUCUCUUAGGUUCCGGUUACUACCCGGGGUCUCUGUUCUGCCUGAUCCGUCCUGGGGGCGUCCGAGUCGCCGCCCGAUCCGCCCUGGUGGCCGUCUGCCUUGUCUGCUUCGCCCUGUUGGGCGGCUGGUUCAAUCCCAUCUCUCCAUCCCCUCAUGGACCUGACCCUCCGUCCCUCCCCCUGUUCCGCCUCCGCUUUACCACCCUCCUGUAGUCAAGUCAAGUCAAGUCAUCUUUAUUUCUAAAACGCUUUAUGCAA